UACGAAGGGGGCUAGCGUUGCUCGGAAUUACUGGGCGUAAAGCGUGCGUAGGUGGUUCGUUAAGUCUGAUGUGAAAGCCCUGGGCUCAACCUGGGAAUGGCAUUGGAAACUGGCGACCUAGAGUGCGGUAGAGGGUAGUGGAAUUCCCGGUGUAGCAGUGAAAUGCGUAGAGAUCGGGAGGAACAUCUGUGGCGAAGGCGACUGCCUGGACCAGCACUGACACUGAGGCACGAAAGCGUGGGGAGCAAACAGG
rnacentral:rRNA from 1 species